AGAGGUCGCCGACUGACGGUUUUAAUUGCAUCAUUUAGUUUAGUUUAUCGCUCUAUAGUAAAAAGUCGCAGUCGGUUUUCUCUCUUUUACCCGAAAGUUGAAGCUAAAAGUGAAGGGAGAAUAAAAAUAACAACUCGACGUUAAUUCUACUCCAAGUCCCUCAGCAGGAACGUAAAGAUGGAGACAUCUCAGAAGGACAUCAGAUAACUGGAUUGCUCAGCUAAGCUGUUAGCAGUGUGGCGUCUCACACGUCUGUCUGAGGUGAAACCCUGAACACGUCCACUUCAUGACUCAGAACUUUCACCUGGAGCCAAGAAAUCGCUGGAGAGAAAGGAGUCUGAGUUAGAUAACUAGUGAGCGUACCGAAUUCGGAUCAAUAGCUGCUAAUUGUUGGUAUAAAACCUUCAAACUCUGGAGGAGACUGACGACCGCAGCGAGGCAUUGAACACGCCUGAGUGAGACACGGCCUGCAGGGUUUUUUUUUUAAUCAACACAGAGGACAUCUCUCAUCCCGCACAUGCAGAGACUCGGUUUCCAUGGGAAUAAACUCUGUGUCCUUUCCUCCCCUCCGGCAGUUCAGAGAAAAGAGAAGAAGAGAUGGAGUGUGUCUGUGCUUGUGCUCAGGCAUAUCAGAAACCAGCAUCGCAAAGCAUCAGCCCUGCGCCUUCGUCCUUGGUGAACGUCACGCGAAGCACUGCAUCGCUCCGUGAUUCAGAAUACAGAGGUCACGAGACUGCGAUGAAUUAAAGAACGUCAGCAGACUCGGGGCGGCCGUCGGCCUGAUGCUGAAAAUCCACACCGUCUCGUCCUUUUUCUCUGCAUUAUGUAGCACACGUUAUGGAGGGAGUCUCGCAUGGUGUUCAUGGUCAGGUCAGGUUUUAUUGUCAUCCCGUCCACAUACACAUGCAGCUGCAGGAAACCGGGAGCAAGAGACGUGAGGGGAGAAAAAAACAAGUGUUUGCAAACACAGCUACAGUACGUGAAGUGUUGUGGUCUUAAUGUAGAUUACUCAGUACUACAAUCGGAUGAAACCUCUGUGUGUCAUGAUGCUGUAGUAAAACAUACGAGUGCGAUGAAGCCCAGAGCUACCCCUGAGAGCUUUAUUUCUCUUAUGCCACAUUAUAGCAGCUGUAAACAGUCGGUCUCUUAUCAUAAUACACACACUGCCCCCCAGUGGCUGGCGCAGUCCUCCAUGUGUAAAAAAAAAACGUACGCAGGCAACUGUGUAAGUGUGUGUUGGUUUAAACCUGGACCUUAAGAAGGGAGGAGAAAAAUGUCUUUCAUUUCUGUGCAGAAAGAAAAAAGGUCGAGAGACGUUCUUCACUCUUCCUUCCUUCAUCUGUUCCAGAGAGCAGGACAUGAUGGAACAGUCUCUGUCUCACUCUCUGUCUCUCUCUCUUUUUCUCUCUCUCAUUCUUUCUUCUUCUCUCCCUAUCUCUCUCUUUCUUCCCCCCCUUCUGCUCACAACCCCUCCCCAAUCUCAGAGUCCAUCAGCUACCUGAUCGAACACUCUCGCCUGGUUGCUAAGCGCUCGUCCUUUGCUUUCACCUGGGUUUUAUGGUGUACGGUCCAUCAUGUACUUUGUCAGCAGUCAGUGUCCACAUGUCUGCUUUUAGACCACCACCACCACCUCCACCUCCACAAUGCUGUUCACUUUCACACUCUUAACACUGUGAGAAUUAUGCAGAUUAUGAUUAGAUCACAGCUACAGGUCAGUGAAGCUCAGCAGGGUUUUUUAUUCCUCUUUUAUUUAUUUAUUUUUUAUUUAAUGACAAGAAAAUAGAAAGAACUCGUCACAGAAAGAAAGUAAACGCAGAGCAAAAACCAAACAUCAUGCUAACUCUCAUGCUAACUCUACUAGCCUUGUUUCAUUGUGCCUGGAUAACAGAGCUCACCUCAAUUUACUGUUCACUGCUAACGUUAGAACCAACAGAUAUACACAGUAUAUAUAUAUGUUCUGCACACUCAGGGUUCUAGGCUUGUUCAGGGUUCUAGGCUUGUAACAUCCUUGGAAUAAUCUCUGCUAGAAACACACAUUGUUGUUGAGAACCUUAAAUGGUCACCCAAAGGGAGAAUUAAACAGUAAAAUAAAUAGUUUGAACUUUGCACAUAAAUAAAUCCAUAAAUGCGUAAAUUUGUACACAAGUAAUAGUAAACGGCGCUAAAUGAGCCGUAAUUCCUGUCAUUAAUAGCCCAGAUUAUUAACUGAACGUAGUUUACAGUUAAAGCUGGUGUUUAACAUGGUGAUGACUGAUGGCUUGAUGCUAAUCUGGGCUAAUUAGCAUUAGUUAAGAGAACAACGAUAAACACCUGAAGCUCAACACUUAUUUUAUUUACACCACAUUCUACAAAAGAGGUUUUCUACACAGUGCUGCUAAUUUACUGUAUUUAACUUGGCUGUCUGUUUGUCUCUACUUGACUCCCAGCUUUCUCGUGUCUGUAACGAUUACUCGUGUUUACGAUAAUGUUCCACCGAGUGCAACGGUGACGUUACGUCCAGAAAUCUCCAUUUAUUACCCUCUAAACGAGCCGACCGUUCGAACGGCGUCCUCAGCCAUCAGGACCGAGAGCCAUGUUGACUCACGCCAUGCUGUCACUCUGCAUGACGCAUCCACCGGCGUGCUGAGGCGAGGCAGGAGAAAUGGGCUCGACGUGACAAAGCAGCGUUGUGGGGUAACUGUGUGAGUCACCAGAGCAGCCUGUUUCCCCCUGAAGCACUCCGCUACAAGAGACAUGGAAAUCCUGUGAAGUUCUCCCUGUGGAGCUCUUACUGCUGAACACACUGUGUCGGUUUGGUAUGCGACGGGAUCGAAUCUGUGUGUGUGUGUGUGUGUGUGUGUGUGUGUGUGUGUGUGUGUGUGUGUGUGUGUGUGUGUGUUCAGUGUCUCUGCUUGAAGUUUACUCCUUGGUUCCAUUUAAAUGUAUGGAUUACUGCAUGAGAAGAGAGAUAAAGAACGGAGAGUUUUACUGAAGCUCACAAUUAAUGAAGUCACGACUCGUUAGGGUGAGUCGACUCUCAGGAACCAAUCAGCAGAGUCGGCGGGUUCAGAAGGGUUCAGGUUCAGAUUCCACAGCUGCUUCAGUGGUUUUUUCGGAAUUUCACUGGAUAACAUAGCUCACCUUGAGAGCUCACUUGUCUUCACCCUUUCAUUUUAAAUCCCCAAAUAGCAAGCACUAAAUGAUAAUGUGCUUGUAUUAGAGCACAGAAUUAUGGGAUGUAUUGUGUGUGUG